rnacentral:rRNA from 1 species
CUCAUAAAGUGCGUCGUAGUCCGGAUUGGAGUCUGCAACUCGACUCCAUGAAGUCGGAAUCGCUAGUAAUCGUGGAUCAGAAUGCCACGGUGAAUACGUUCCCGGGCCUUGUACACACCGCCCGUCACACCAUGGGAGUGGGUUGCAAAAGAAGUAGGUAGCUUAACCUUCGGGAGGGCGCUUACCACUUUGUGAUUCAUGACUGGGGUGAAGUCGUAACAAGGUAACCGUAGGGGAACCUG